CCUCCGAGCCUCUUCCUUGUCACCACCGGUUUCGCUCUAAAAUGUCAGGGAUAGAGAUGCUCCAUUGGAUGUUCGUCGGUGCCGGAGGAGCUCUGGGUCACCCACUGCCCGAUUCGCCUACUCUCGAUAUCUCAGAACAGGUCUACAUCUCCUCACUUGCGUUGUUGAAGAUGCUUGAGCACGCUAGGGUUCCCGGAGGUGAUGGGCUUGAUGCUGGGAGAGUUUGUGGAUGACUAUAUUAGUUAAAGUUGUGGAUGUGUUUGCUAUGCCUCAGAGUGGUCGGAUGGAACUUGGGGAACUGUUAAAAGAAGUUGCACUAUAGUUAGAGACAUUGCAGACUUGUGUUACCAUUCGUAUCCACUAUACUUGAAAGAGUUGCACGAAUCCCCUGCUUCAGAAGAAGUUCGUACUUUAAGGUAAUCGUAUUUAAAUGAGUACUCUGGUGAUACAUGCUGGAGAAAAUGAAUAGAGUUAGACUGUUAUGUAAUCUCAGAUAGGCUAAGUGGUUUUCUUAGGAGAUGUCUUGUAGGUUGAUUCAUAUACCAGCAUGUAUACUAGUUGGUGUUUUGGGGCUAAUGGUGGCGAUUCCUCUUUACACUGUAAUUGUUGUUGUGAAGAGUCCAUAUAUGUUGUUUAAAGGCUGGUAUCGACUUAUCCACGAUAUGAUUAGUCGAGAAGGACCAUUUCUUGAAGUAGCUUGCAUCCCAAUUGUUGGUUUGAUAAUCCUUAUAUGGCCAAUUGUGGUUAUUGGAAGUAUCAUACUCACAGUUGUCUCCAGUAUUUUUGUUGGAUUAUAUGCAGUAGUUGUAGUAUAUCAGGUUUGCUCUUAGUAAACUAUGAUCUUUUUUUUGCUCUCUCUUUUGCUUUCCAUGAUAAAUGAAAUGAUGUAUUCUCUAACAAUUGAUGAAUGAAGGAAAGAUCUUUCACGAAAGGUGUGACCUACAUGAUCGUAAUUGUUGCCGAGUUUGAUGAGUACACAAAUGACUGGUUAUAUCUUUCAGAAGGCACAACCUUUCCGAUGUUAGUAAAAUUUACUUCAAUAUAAAAGCUAAAGCUGACGGGAAACCAAUGCUACAUCUUGCUAGAUUUGGUGCCUUUUUCUAUGGUAAAUAUUAACAAUAUCAAUCACAUUUUGUGCAGUUAGGCCCCAUUAUCAAAAAAGAGCUGUCUCUCAAUUAUCAUAGCUUUCUGUCUGAGGAAGGCGAGCAGCUAAAGGUAAGCUCAUAUUUGCUCCAAUGGAGGCACGUGCGAUGCAUAUGCCAAGUUUGGUCAAUUCCAGAUCAGUUAGAGAAGCUAUACAUGAAGUAAAAAUGGUGCAAGUAUGCUUUAUAGUUCAUUGGUUUAGUUGCAAUGGUGUAUGCAUUUAAUUUCUAUCAAAAGAGCUAAUUUAUAACUAGCUAGGGAUGCAAUUUGGCUGUUGCACAUUGUUGUAAUUUGGCUUGCUCAUGUUAGGAGGUAUUUGAAGUUCGAGAUGAUUUUGUUCUAAUUUAUGAAACCAUAUU